rfam:Microbacterium sp. STBG005 Ion018_assembly_c3332, whole genome shotgun sequence.
UUUUCCGCGUUAAAUCCGGGUUUUGUAAGGAUGUCGACGGAAUGACCAAUUUUGUCUGACCGAUCAUCCACGCAGCAAUGGCGUAAGACGUAUUGAUCUUUUCAGGCAGUUAGCGGGCUGCGGGUUGCAGUACUUCCCGGUAUAAGGAUUGUUCUCUGGAGAGUUUUCCCAGGCAAUUCCCCUGAUAAUUGCGCUGUGUUUCCGUAUGAAACACAGGCAACCGACACUCUGCGCCUCUUAAGCGAGCGACAACCGUGAGGUUGGCGACGUGAAUAGACACGAGGCCAUCGGUUCAUACCCCGGAAAGCGUCACCUUGCCCGCAGCUUUGUCGUCAA